rnacentral:rRNA from 1 species
UACGAAGGGGGCUAGCGUUGCUCGGAAUCACUGGGCGUAAAGCGCACGUAGGCGGAUUUCUAAGUCAGGGGUGAAAUCCUGGAGCUCAACUCCAGAACUGCCUUUGAUACUGGGAAUCUAGAGUCCGGGAGAGGUGAGUGGAACUGCGAGUGUAGAGGUGAAAUUCGUAGAUAUUCGCAAGAACACCAGUGGCGAAGGCGGCUCACUGGCCCGGUACUGACGCUGAGGUGCGAAAGCGUGGGGAGCAAACAGG